rnacentral:rRNA from 1 species
UACGUAGGGAGCAAGCGUUGUCCGGAUUUAUUGGGCGUAAAGAGCUCGUAGGUGGCUUGUUGCGUCUGCCGUGAAAGCCCGUGGCUUAACUACGGGUCUGCGGUGGAUACGGGCAGGCUAGAGGCUGGUAGGGGCAAGCGGAAUUCCUGGUGUAGCGGUGAAAUGCGCAGAUAUCAGGAGGAACACCGGUGGCGAAGGCGGCUUGCUGGGCCAGUUCUGACGCUGAGGAGCGAAAGCGUGGGGAGCGAACAGG